GUUUGAUCCUGGCUCAGGAUGAACGCUAGCUACAGGCUUAACACAUGCAAGUCGAGGGGAAACGAUAUUGAAAGCUUGCUUUCGAUAGGCGUCGACCGGCGCACGGGUGAGUAACGCGUAUCCAACCUGCCCAUAACUAAGGGAUAAUCCGUAGAAAUGCGGUCUAAUACCUUAUGUGAUCCGAGGAAGACAUCUGAUUUGGAUUAAAGAUUUAUCGGUUAUGGAUGGGGAUGCGUCUGAUUAGAUUGUUGGCGGGGCAACGGCCCACCAAGUCUGCGAUCAGUAGGGGUUCUGAGAGGAAGGUCCCCCACAUUGGAACUGAGACACGGUCCAAACUCCUACGGGAGGCAGCAGUGAGGAAUAUUGGUCAAUGGGCGGGAGCCUGAACCAGCCAAGUAGCGUGCAGGAUGACGGCCCUAUGGGUUGUAAACUGCUUUUGUAUGGGGAUAAAUUGCUCCACGUGUGGAGUAUUGCAGGUACCAUACGAAUAAGGACCGGCUAAUUCCGUGCCAGCAGCCGCGGUAAUACGGAAGGUCCGGGCGUUAUCCGGAUUUAUUGGGUUUAAAGGGAGCGUAGGCCGUGGAUUAAGUGUGUUGUGAAAUGUAGGCGCUCAACGUCUGACUUGCAGCGCAUACUG
rnacentral:rRNA from 1 species